GGUGAAAUCCAGGAGCUCAACUACAGAACUGGCUUUAAUACUGCCAGUCGAGAGACCGAGAGAGGUAAGUGGAACUCCUAGUGUAGAGGUGGAAUUCGUAGAUAUUAGGAAGAACACCAGUGGCGAAGGCGGCUUACUGGCUCGGAACUGACGCUGAGGUGCGAAAGCGUGGGGAGCAAACAG
rnacentral:rRNA from 1 species